GAUGCUACCUGGUUGAUCCUGCCAGU
rnacentral:rRNA from 1 species